GUGAAAGAGUGGAAAGAAAGUGGAGAGAAUGAACAGGAGAAGAGGAAAGCAGAGAGAAAAAUGGGCCGGACGAGCAGCACAAUUGCAGAGCAGGAGGUUUCGGCACAGAAAACACAUUUAGCAGGAGCCUGUCUGCCAUCACCCGCAGCACCGGGACCUGCUGGCCCCCAGACAGAGAGAGAGUGAGAUCCACCAGGGAACCGGGGAACCGUGAUCCGACGCUCGUCCAGCCAGAGACCCGGCGCUGAUGUGCCUCAGCUGUCACCCUCCGACAGUGAUGGAGAGAGAGUCAGAGGAGAGGAGAGGCGUGGUGUCGCACUGGGAAAGCUCCGCUAAUCUAAUGAGAAAUUAUCUUUUAUGCUUUAUGAGUAUUUCGUGGUACGCACAGGAAUUAGUGUGCUUGCUUUGAAGUGUACGAGAAAAAUCUAAAAUUAAAUAAUCAAAUGAGAAAUAACUACAUGGUUGCUUUAAAAAACAAAUUUCAUGUUAAAUCACCAGGAAAAAAAUGAUAUAGCUUAAUGUAUGCUAUGCAUCAAAGGUUUGAAGUCAGUAAAAAAUUUCAGUAAAAAAAAAGUAUUUUACAGCAAGUAUGGAAUAAACUGAUUAAAAGUUGCAACCAAAAAAAAAAAAAAA